rnacentral:rRNA from 1 species
GAGGUAGAUAGGUUGGAGGUGGAAGUGCAGCAAUGCAUGGAGCUGACCAAUACUAAUCGGUCGAGGGCUUAUCCAAAUA